rnacentral:rRNA from 1 species
UAGCAUAUCAAUAAGCGGAGGAAAAGAAACUAACAAGGAUUCCCCUAGUAACUGCGAGUGAAGCGGGAAAAGCUCAAAUUUAAAAUCUGGCGGUUCUGCCGUCCGAGUUGUAGUCUGGAGAAGUGCUUUCUGCGCUGGACCGUGUACAAGUCUCUUGGAACAGAGCGUCAUAGAGGGUGAGAAUCCCGUCUCUGACACGGACUACCAGUGCUUUGUGUGGCGCUCUCAAAGAGUCGAGUUGUUUGGGAAUGCAGCUCAAAAUGGGUGGUAAAUUCCAUCUAAAGCUAAAUAUAGGCGAGAGACCGAUAGCGAACAAGUACCGUGAGGGAAAGAUGAAAAGCACUUUGGAAAGAGAGUUAAACAGUACGUGAAAUUGCUGAAAGGGAAACGCUUGAAGUCAGUCGCGUCGUCUGGACUCAGCCUUGCUUUAGCUUGGUGCACUUUCAGUCGACGGGCCAGCAUGGAUUUUGGCUGCCGGAAAAGGGUGGGGGGAAUGUGGCACCCUCGGGUGUGUUAUAGCCCCCUGUCGUACGCGGUGGCCGGGAUCGAGGAUUCGCGCCGCAAGGCGUUUGGAUGCUGGCGUAAUGGCUUUAAACGACCCGUCUUGAAACACGGACCAAGGAGUCUAACAUGCCUGCGAGUGUUUGGGUGGUAAACCCGAGCGCGUAAUGAAAGUGAAAGUUGAGACCUCUGUCGUGGAGGGCAUCGACGCCCGGAUCAGACCUACUGUGACGAUUCCGCGGUAGAGCAUGUAUGUUGGGACCCGAAAGAUGGUGAACUAUGCCUGAAUAGGGUGAAGCCAGAGGAAACUCUGGUGGAGGCUCGUAGCGAUUCUGACGUGCAAAUCGAUCGUCAAAUUUGGGUAUAGGGGCGAAAGACUAAUCGAACCAUCUAGUAGCUGGUUCCUGCCGA